GCGUUUCGUCUUCACCCGUCAGUCGUUUUCGAGUCGCAUUUUUCGACACUUGUACUUUAUUUUUGUUUGUCGCCGACGUCUUCAUCGUAAAAGUCCUUGCUCACAGUACCACAGUGCACAGUGUUCGGAGUACAGGGAGACCACCGCACUACCAUUCCACAGUUAUCCUUACCACAGUCGAAACGUAAACAGUUUAAUUGUGUACUUUCGCCUAAUUAGAAAUUACGUCUCUCCUUACCUGACAAACGAAAAACAAUUAGUAUUGUUGUGCCUACAUCAAGCCAACUCGAUAGCCUGAUUUUAUAUCAAUAUUAAAAAUGGAACUUGGUAAAGAAGCAGGUGGACCUAUGGAAGUAGACGAGCCAACUGACAGUCCAUCUAUUGUUCUACAAUCUAAA